UACGGGGGUGGCAAGCGUUGUUCGGAAUUACUGGGCGUAAAGGGCGCGUAGGCGGCAUUACAAGUCAGAUGUGAAAUCCCUGGGCUUAACUCAGGAAUUGCAUCUGAAACUGUUUUGCUUGAGUCCUGGAGGGGGUAGUGGAAUUCCCAGUGUAGCGGUGAAAUGCGUAGAUAUUGGGAGGAACACCUGCGGCGAAGGCGGCUACCUGGACAGUGACUGACGCUGAGGCGCGAAAGCUAGGGGAGCGAACGGG
rnacentral:rRNA from 1 species